GCUGAGGCCGCGUCUCCACGGGCGGAGGGGGCAUUCACUGAGUUGCCUUUGUAUGCUGGGAGGACCAAGCCGGAGGUUCCCACUAUGAGCCCGGAGUCUGUGCAGCCAGAUGACGCAUGAGCCUCUGCCUCUGAAUGUGAAGGGAAACUGGACCAGCUCAGUGUCAAGCCUGACUGCUCCUGACCACAGGAUAUGCCUGGUCCAGGAAAUGGCCACAUUUCCCCCCUCAGAACCUCUACUUGGAUGGGCUGUCUUGGAAAUAAGUAUACUGGAUUGGAAACCCAUUCAAUCUGAUGUCUGCUGAGGAAUGGAGAAAGACCACUGGUGAUUCCUCCAUCCUCACUCCUGUGUCCCUCCUUGCAUUGCAAGUGCUUUACAAGUCUUCCCGAUAGACCAUGAGCAUCCUGAGGGCUGGUAUCAAAUUUAACUCAUCUCCUAUCCUCAGUGCCUCGUACAAGAUGCUGGAUGUAGGAGGAGUUCAGAAGCUCAAACUGAGGCAGAAUCACAGCGAUUUGGAAAAUGGUCCAAUCAGCUAUAGUGGAAGAGCAGAAUCACUGAAUAUAAAACAUGGACAUGUCAGCAGCAGGGGCUGUGGGCUGAACAGCUUCACUGGGAAGAGGAUAUGGGUGAGAAGGUACAGCAAUGGGUACCUCCAUUAACAGUUACCAGAGUCACGUUUUGAAAUCUCAGAUCUGAGCAUCUAUCCUCAAAUAGAGCCCUACAUGGCUCCCAGUUCCUCCAGGAGAAGGUCCAAAUCCCUUAAGAUGACUUUAAGGCCCUCAAAUGUUCCAGGCUCUGUACGUUCUUGUGCCACAACUAUGCCACAACAAAACAGUUUUUCCCCCAUUUCUACUUUGUUUUUCCAGUUGUAGAGUCAAAGCCUCAAGAAGGGGAAAGGGACGAAUGGACACCAGGUCAUGUGACAGGUAGCUGGGAAGUGAAUACUUCUAUUUUCUAUUCUUUUUUUUUUUUUUUUUUGAGAUGGAGUCUCACACUGUUGCCCGGGCUGGAGUGCAAUGGCGCAAUCUCAGCUCACUGCAACCUCUGCCUCCCAGGUUCACAGAUUCUCCUGCCUCAGCCUCCCGAGUAGCUGGGAUUACAGGCGCGCACCACCACGUCUGGCUAAUUUUUUGUAUUUUUUAGUAGAGAUGGGGUUUCCCUAUGUUGGCCAGACUGGUUUCAAACUCCUGACCUCGUGAUCCGCCUGCCUCGGCCUCCCAAAGUGCUGGGAUUACAGGUGUGAGCCACCGCACCUGGCCAAAUACUUCUAUUUUCAUCUCUUAGGAAAACAUAUGAUGUAAAUCACUGUUCCCAUAUUCAAAUUUAAAUGAUGGCUUACCUCUCUGGGGAUGUUUGUAUUUGAAUGAAGCAGCAAGUUUUUGCCACACUGUAAUACUUUAACUACAGAUAUUUUGACUCCUUCUGUUUCUGAUUUGCUUUCAUAA